rnacentral:lncRNA from 1 species
UUGGGUUAGAGAGAGAAUCUAGAGAGAGAAAGUGUAGAUUUGAGGUAAGCAAGUUGUUUAAUUUUGUAAUUUUCGUUUAUUUUGGUUCCUAAUGGUAUGUUGAAUAGAAUUAACGGUAAAAAUUGUGUAAAAGUUGAGUAUAAUUAGCUUAGCUAUAAACCUGUUUUAGUUAAAAAUCACAAUUAAUUAAAGAUUAAAGUAUUUUAAGUUAAGUAUUUUAUUAAUGGUAAGAUCAGCAUAAAUCUUUGUUUAAUUUGGUUUGAUUGAAAAAUAUAUUAGUAAACAUGUGAUGAAUUGGGUUAUUUGGACACUUGGGAUUUGUUAAUAGGUUAGGCUUUAAGAAAAUCAAAAGAAUUAGUGUUUGGUAAUUAAUUAGGGAAAUUAAUAUGCAUUGUAAAUAUUGUUUAAUUCAAUUCAAAAUUUGAUCUGAAAACAUGUAGGAUAUAGAUUAGAGAAUGUGAGAAUUAAAAAUUUGCAACAAUAAACUAUAUAAAUUUUCAUGGUUAGGAAACCUAAAUUAUGUUGUUUCAUUUCAGUUCCUCGUAAUAGGCAAAGAUCACCUACUUAGAAGAAACACAAAAAGGAAGUCGAUGUAAGGUAGGGAAUUUUAUGCUAUUCUAUGGUGUAUCUGAUUUCUUUCCUUGAAUUAUUUGUUGGAAUUUUAUGUUAUUUUUAUGAUUUCAUAAAAUCUUUUAAAGUGUCAUUGCAUCUCGGUUUAUUGCAUUGAAAUGUUACCAUGAUGUUGGAACGUAUAUUGGUAUGAAGAUUCGUGGUUUUGUGUUGUCGAAAUGGUUUAUGGUGUGAUUGCAUUGCAAGAAGGAUAUGGAAUUAUCACAGAUCAUAUUCAGAGAAUUUAUUGGUGGCGAAGUGCUUAUGUGAUGCUACAGGCCUUAUCAUUUGAUAUAUUGUUUAUGUGGGACCGUGGGUCCUUGGGUGAAAGUCCCUAAAGCCCUCGAGGAAGACACUCCGAUGUGGGUGUAUGGGGUUGGUCCUGCCCCUGGGUUUUAGUCCCUAAAGACACGGGGUUGGUCCUGCCCUUGGGUAUUGAUAUCUGUUGUGUAGAUUGUUGGGAGUCAUCAAAUUAUCAGUUGUGAAAGGAUGGAUGGGGAAAAGUAAUGAUGAAACCAACAAACACAUGCAUACAUGUUUGACAUGAUUACACAUUUGUUAAUGGUUAUGAAAUCUUUCUCAUGCAUGUUAUUAAACGUUUAAUUCAAGGUUUUUAAGGGUAUACUUAGGAUGGUUAUAAACUUUCCUACUGAGUUGUGAACUCACCCUAUUCCUUUCACCUAUAGAUGCAGGUCAGAAGACCUAUGCAGGAAAGAAUGCUUGAGCAAUGCUUUACUGUGAUUGGAUGCUGUUUGCUCAUAUUGAAAGUCUUUUGAGGCCAUGCCUUUUAUAUCAAGACUACACCUUUUGUUGAAAUGAUGUAAUGUAUAUAUUUGUUAGAUACACUUGUAGUAUGGGCCACCCAUAGUAAACAAUGGGGUUGGGUAUAUGUAAAUUAAUGUUGUACAAGUUUCUUUUGUGAAACAAAACAUAUUUUGUUAACUUAAUAGUCAC